rnacentral:rRNA from 1 species
AUACGGAGGAUGCGAGCGUUAUCCGGAUUUAUUGGGUUUAAAGGGAGCGUAGGCGGGAGCUUAAGUCAGCGGUUAAAUGGUGCGGCUCAACCGUGCCCUGCCGUUGAAACUGGGUUUCUUGAGAGUGCAAGAGGCGGAUGGAAUUCAUUGGGUAGCGGGGUAAUGCUUAGAUAUCAUGAAGAACUCCGAUUGCGAAGGCAGUCCGCUGGGGCACGUCUGACGCUGAUGCUCGAAGGUGCGGGAAUCAAACAGGAUUAGAUACCCUGGUAGUCCGCACGGUAAACGAUGAUUACCCGCUGUCGGCGGCAGACAGUCGGCGGCCAAGCGAAAGCGAUAAGUAAUCCACCUGGGGAGUACGCCGGCAACGGUGAAACUCAAAUGAAUUGACGGGG